UUAAGCGACUAAGCGUACACGGUGGAUGCCCUGGCAGUCAGAGGCGAUGAAGGACGUGCUAAUCUGCGAAAAGCGCCGGCGAGGUGAUAUGAACCUUUGACCCGGCGAUGUCCGAAUGGGGAAACCCAGUGCAAUCCGUUGCACUAUCGUUAACUGAAUACAUAGGUUAACGAGGCGAACCGGGGGAACUGAAACAUCUAAGUACCCCGAGGAAAAGAAAUCAACCGAGAUUCCCCCAGUAGCGGCGAGCGAACGGGGAGCAGCCCGGAGUCUGAAUCAGCUUGUGUGUUAGUGGAACGGUCUGGAAAGUCCGACGGUACAGGGUGAUAGUCCCGUACACGAAAGCACACUUGCUGUGAACUCGAAGAGUAGGGCGGGACACGUGGUAUCCUGUCUGAAUAUGGGGGGACCAUCCUCCAAGGCUAAAUACUCCUGACUGACCGAUAGUGAACCAGUACCGUGAGGGAAAGGCGAAAAGAACCCCGGCGAGGGGAGUGAAAAAGAACCUGAAACCGUGUACGUACAAGCAGUGGGAGCCUCUUUAUGGGGUGACUGCGUACCUUUUGUAUAAUGGGUCAGCGACUUAUAUUCUGUAGCAAGGUUAACCGUAUAGGGGAGCCGAAGGGAAACCGAGUCUUAACUGGGCGUUAAGUUGCAGGGUAUAGACCCGAAACCCGGUGAUCUAGCCAUGGGCAGGUUGAAGGUUGGGUAACACUAACUGGAGGACCGAACCGACUAAUGUUGAAAAAUUAGCGGAUGACCUGUGGCUGGGGGUGAAAGGCCAAUCAAACCGGGAGAUAGCUGGUUCUCCCCGAAAGCUAUUUAGGUAGCGCCUCGUGAAUUCAUCUUCGGGGGUAGAGCACUGUUUCGGCUAGGGGGCCAUCCCGGCUUACCAACCCGAUGCAAACUACGAAUACCGAAGAAUGUUAUCACGGGAGACACACGGCGGGUGCUAACGUCCGUCGUGAAGAGGGAAACAACCCAGACCGCCAGCUAAGGUCCCAAAGUCAUGGUUAAGUGGGAAACGAUGUGGGAAGGCACAGACAGCCAGGAUGUUGGCUUAGAAGCAGCCAUCAUUUAAAGAAAGCGUAAUAGCUCACUGGUCGAGUCGGCCUGCGCGGAAGAUGUAACGGGGCUAAACCAUGCACCGAAGCUGCGGCAGCGACACUAUGUGUUGUUGGGUAGGGGAGCGUUCUGUAAGCCGUUGAAGGUGUCCUGUGAGGGGUGCUGGAGGUAUCAGAAGUGCGAAUGCUGACAUAAGUAACGAUAAAGCGGGUGAAAAGCCCGCUCGCCGGAAGACCAAGGGUUCCUGUCCAACGUUAAUCGGGGCAGGGUGAGUCGACCCCUAAGGCGAGGCCGAAAGGCGUAGUCGAUGGGAAACAGGUUAAUAUUCCUGUACUUGGUGUUACUGCGAAGGGGGGACGGAGAAGGCUAUGUCAGCCGGGCGACGGUUGUCCCGGUUUAAGCAUGUAGGCGGAGGUUCCAGGUAAAUCCGGUACCUUAUUAACGCUGAGGUGUGAUGACGAGGCACUACGGUGCUGAAGUGAUAAAUGCCCUGCUUCCAGGAAAAGCCUCUAAGCAUCAGGUAACACGAAAUCGUACCCCAAACCGACACAGGUGGUCAGGUAGAGAAUACCAAGGCGCUUGAGAGAACUCGGGUGAAGGAACUAGGCAAAAUGGUGCCGUAACUUCGGGAGAAGGCACGCUGAUAGGUAGGUGAAGUCCCUGCGGACGGAGCUGAAAUCAGUCGAAGAUACCAGCUGGCUGCAACUGUUUAUUAAAAACACAGCACUGUGCAAACACGAAAGUGGACGUAUACGGUGUGACGCCUGCCCGGUGCCGGAAGGUUAAUUGAUGGGGUUAGCGGCAACGCGAAGCUCUUGAUCGAAGCCCCGGUAAACGGCGGCCGUAACUAUAACGGUCCUAAGGUAGCGAAAUUCCUUGUCGGGUAAGUUCCGACCUGCACGAAUGGCGUA
rnacentral:rRNA from 1 species